rnacentral:rRNA from 1 species
UGGCUCAGGAUGAACGCUGGCGGCGUGCCUAAUACAUGCAAGUCGAGCGAACGGACGAGAAGCUUGCUUCUCUGAUGUUAGCGGCGGACGGGUGAGUAACACGUGGAUAACCUACCUAUAAGACUGGGAUAACUUCGGGAAACCGGAGCUAAUACCGGAUAAUAUUUUGAACCGCAUGGUUCAAAAGUGAAAGACGGUCUUGCUGUCACUUAUAGAUGGAUCCGCGCUGCAUUAGCUAGUUGGUAAGGUAACGGCUUACCAAGGCAACGAUGCAUAGCCGACCUGAGAGGGUGAUCGGCCACACUGGAACUGAGACACGGUCCAGACUCCUACGGGAGGCAGCAGUAGGGAAUCUUCCGCAAUGGGCGAAAGCCUGACGGAGCAACGCCGCGUGAGUGAUGAAGGUCUUCGGAUCGUAAAACUCUGUUAUUAGGGAAGAACAUAUGUGUAAGUAACUGUGCACAUCUUGACGGUACCUAAUCAGAAAGCCACGGCUAACUACGUGCCAGCAGCCGCGGUAAUACGUAGGUGGCAAGCGUUAUCCGGAAUUAUUGGGCGUAAAGCGCGCGUAGGCGGUUUUUUAAGUCUGAUGUGAAAGCCCACGGCUCAACCGUGGAGGGUCAUUGGAAACUGGAAAACUUGAGUGCAGAAGAGGAAAGUGGAAUUCCAUGUGUAGCGGUGAAAUGCGCAGAGAUAUGGAGGAACACCAGUGGCGAAGGCGACUUUCUGGUCUGUAACUGACGCUGAUGUGCGAAAGCGUGGGGAUCAAACAGGAUUAGAUACCCUGGUAGUCCACGCCGUAAACGAUGAGUGCUAAGUGUUAGGGGGUUUCCGCCCCUUAGUGCUGCAGCUAACGCAUUAAGCACUCCGCCUGGGGAGUACGACCGCAAGGUUGAAACUCAAAGGAAUUGACGGGGACCCGCACAAGCGGUGGAGCAUGUGGUUUAAUUCGAAGCAACGCGAAGAACCUUACCAAAUCUUGACAUCCUUUGACAACUCUAGAGAUAGAGCCUUCCCCUUCGGGGGACAAAGUGACAGGUGGUGCAUGGUUGUCGUCAGCUCGUGUCGUGAGAUGUUGGGUUAAGUCCCGCAACGAGCGCAACCCUUAAGCUUAGUUGCCAUCAUUAAGUUGGGCACUCUAAGUUGACUGCCGGUGACAAACCGGAGGAAGGUGGGGAUGACGUCAAAUCAUCAUGCCCCUUAUGAUUUGGGCUACACACGUGCUACAAUGGACAAUACAAAGGGCAGCGAAACCGCGAGGUCAAGCAAAUCCCAUAAAGUUGUUCUCAGUUCGGAUUGUAGUCUGCAACUCGACUACAUGAAGCUGGAAUCGCUAGUAAUCGUAGAUCAGCAUGCUACGGUGAAUACGUUCCCGGGUCUUGUACACACCGCCCGUCACACCACGAGAGUUUGUAACACCCGAAGCCGGUGGAGUAACCUUUUAGGAGCUAGCCGUCGAAGGUGGGACAAAUGAUUGGGGUGAAGUCGUAACAAGGUAGCCGUAUCGGAAGGUGCGGCUGGAUCACCUCCUUUCUAAGGAUAUAUUCGGAACAUCUUCUUCAGAAGAUGCGGAAUAACGUGACAUAUUGUAUUCAGUUUUGAAUGUUUAUUUAACAUUCAAAUAUUUUUUGGUUAAAGUGAUAUUGCUUAUGAAAAUAAAGCAGUAUGCGAGCGCUUGACUAAAAAGAAAUUGUACAUUGAAAACUAGAUAAGUAAGUAAAAUAUAGAUUUUACCAAGCAAAACCGAGUGAAUAAAGAGUUUUAAAUAAGCUUGAAUUCAUAAGAAAUAAUCGCUAGUGUUCGAAAGAACACUCACAAGAUUAAUAACGCG